rnacentral:sRNA from 1 species
CCAACAGUAUGGACGUUGAGCUGAUGCACAAUGCCGCCCUGCGGGGCGAGCAUAUCGAUGC